UACGUAGGGAGCAAGCGUUGUCCGGAAUCAUUGGGCGUAAAGCGCGCGUAGGUGGCUUCAUAAGUCCGUUGUGAAAGUCAAAGGCUCAACCUUUGAAAUCCGAUGGAUACUGUGGAGCUAGAGUACGGAAGAGGCGAGUGGAAUUCCUGGUGUAGCGGUGGAAUGCGCAGAUAUCAGGAGGAACACCAAUAGCGAAGGCAGCUCGCUGGGACGUUACUGACACUGAGGCGCGAAAGCGUGGGGAGCGAACAGG
rnacentral:rRNA from 1 species